GUCAUUCUAGUAUAGUGGUGAGUAUUUUCGCCUUUCAUGUGAGUGACAUGGGUUCGAUCCCCGACAACGAUG
rnacentral:tRNA from 1 species